rnacentral:rRNA from 1 species
CGUCGGUGAGGUGAUAUGAACCGUUAUAACCGGCGAUUUCCGAAUGGGGAAACCCAGUGUGUUUCGACACACUAUCAUUAACUGAAUCCAUAGGUUAAUGAGGCGAACCGGGGGAACUGAAACAUCUAAGUACCCCGAGGAAAAGAAAUCAACCGAGAUUCCCCCAGUAGCGGCGAGCGAACGGGGAGGAGCCCAGAGCCUGAAUCAGUGUGUGUGUUAGUGGAAGCGUCUGGAAAGGCGCGCGAUACAGGGUGACAGCCCCGUACACAAAAAUGCACACAUUGUGAGCUCGAUGAGUAGGGCGGGACACGUGGUAUCCUGUCUGAAUAUGGGGGGACCAUCCUCCAAGGCUAAAUACUCCUGACUGACCGAUAGUGAACCAGUACCGUGAGGGAAAGGCGAAAAGAACCCCGGCGAGGGGAGUGAAAAAGAACCUGAAACCGUGUACGUACAAGCAGUGGGAGCCUCUUAAUGGGGUGACUGCGUACCUUUUGUAUAAUGGGUCAGCGACUUAUAUUCUGUAGCAAGGUUAACCGAAUAGGGGAGCCGAAGGGAAACCGAGUCUUAACUGGGCGUUAAGUUGCAGGGUAUAGACCCGAAACCCGGUGAUCUAGCCAUGGGCAGGUUGAAGGUUGGGUAACACUAACUGGAGGACCGAACCGACUAAUGUUGAAAAAUUAGCGGAUGACUUGUGGCUGGGGGUGAAAGGCCAAUCAAACCGGGAGAUAGCUGGUUCUCCCCGAAAGCUAUUUAGGUAGCGCCUCGUGAAUUCAUCUCCGGGGGUAGAGCACUGUUUCGGCAAGGGGGUCAUCCCGACUUACCAACCCGAUGCAAACUGCGAAUACCGGAGAAUGUUAUCACGGGAGACACACGGCGGGUGCUAACGUCCGUCGUGAAGAGGGAAACAACCCAGACCGCCAGCUAAGGUCCCAAAGUCAUGGUUAAGUGGGAAACGAUGUGGGAAGGCCCAGACAGCCAGGAUGUUGGCUUAGAAGCAGCCAUCAUUUAAAGAAAGCGUAAUAGCUCACUGGUCGAGUCGGCCUGCGCGGAAGAUGUAACGGGGCUAAACCAUGCACCGAAGCUGCGGCAGCGACACUAUGUGUUGUUGGGUAGGGGAGCGUUCUGUAAGCCUGCGAAGGUGUACUGUGAGGUAUGCUGGAGGUAUCAGAAGUGCGAAUGCUGACAUAAGUAACGAUAAAGCGGGUGAAAAGCCCGCUCGCCGGAAGACCAAGGGUUCCUGUCCAACGUUAAUCGGGGCAGGGUGAGUCGACCCCUAAGGCGAGGCCGAAAGGCGUAGUCGAUGGGAAACAGGUUAAUAUUCCUGUACUUGGUGUUACUGCGAAGGGGGGACGGAGAAGGCUAUGUUGGCCGGGCGACGGUUGUC